CCUACGGGUGGCAGCAGUAGGGAAUAUUGCUCAAUGGGGGAAACCCUGAAGCAGCAACGCCGCGUGGAGGAUGAAGGUUUUCGGGUUGUAAACUCCUUUUGUUAGAGAAGAUAAUGACGGUAUCUAACGAAUAAGCACCGGCUAACUCCGUGCCAGCAGCCACGGUAAUACGGAGGGUGCAAGCGUUACUCGGAAUCACUGGGCGUAAAGAGCGCGUAGGAGGGAUAGCAAGUCAGAUGUGAAAUCCUAUGGCUUAACGAUAGAACUGCAUUUGAAACUGUUAGUCUAGAGUACGGGAGGGGUAGGUGGAAUUCGUGGUGUAGGGGUAAAAUCCGUAGAGAUCAAGAGGAAUACUCAUUGCGAAGGCGACCUGCGAGACCAUAACUGACGCUGAUGCGCGAAAGCGUGGGGAGCAAACAGGAUUAGAUACCCCUGUAGUC
rnacentral:rRNA from 1 species